rnacentral:rRNA from 2 species
AACGGCCAUACCAUGCUGAAUAUACCGGUUCUCGUUAGAUCACCGAAGUCAAGCAUCAUUGGGCGCGGUCAGUACUUGGGUGGGUGACCACCUGGGAACACUGCGUGCCGUU